GAUGAACGCUGGCGGCAUGCCUAACACAUGCAAGUCGAACGAGAUCUUCGGGUCUAGUGGCGCACGGGUGCGUAACGCGUGGGAAUCUGCCCUUUGGUUCGGAAUAACAGUUGGAAACGACUGCUAAUACCGGAUGAUGACGAAAGUCCAAAGAUUUAUCGCCAGAGGAUGAGCCCGCGUAGGAUUAGCUAGUUGGUGUGGUAAAGGCGCACUAAGGCGACGAUCCUUAGCUGGUCUGAGAGGAUGAUCAGCCACACUGGGACUGAGACACGGCCCAGACUCCUACGGGAGGCAGCAGUGGGGAAUAUUGGUCAAUGGGCGAAAGCCUGAUCCAGCAAUGCCGCGUGAGUGAUGAAGGCCUUAGGGUUGUAAAGCUCUUUUACCCGGGAUGAUAAUGACAGCACCGGGAGAAUAAGCUCCGGCUAACUCCAUGCCAGCCGCCGCGGUAA
rnacentral:rRNA from 1 species